rnacentral:tRNA from 1 species
GCCGAUGUCGUAUAGUGGUUAUUACACCAACUUGGUAAGUUGGGUACGGGUGUUCGAUUCACCUCUUCGGCUCCU